rnacentral:rRNA from 1 species
UUGAACGCUGGCGGCAGGCCUAACACAUGCAAGUCGAGCGGUAGAGAGGUGCUUGCAUCUCUUGAGAGCGGCGGACGGGUGAGUAAUGCCUAGGAAUCUGCCUAGUGGUGGGGGAUAACGUUCGGAAACGGACGCUAAUACCGCAUACGUCCUACGGGAGAAAGCGGGGGAUCUUCGGACCUCGCGCCAUUAGAUGAGCCUAGGUCGGAUUAGCUAGUUGGUGAGGUAAUGGCUCACCAAGGCGACGAUCCGUAACUGGUCUGAGAGGAUGAUCAGUCACACUGGAACUGAGACACGGUCCAGACUCCUACGGGAGGCAGCAGUGGGGAAUAUUGGACAAUGGGCGAAAGCCUGAUCCAGCCAUGCCGCGUGUGUGAAGAAGGUCUUCGGAUUGUAAAGCACUUUAAGUUGGGAGGAAGGGUAGUAACCUAAUACGUUGCUACUUUGACGUUACCGACAGAAUAAGCACCGGCUAACUUCGUG